rnacentral:rRNA from 1 species
GUGAGGAAUUUUGCGCAAUGGGGGCAACCCUGACGCAGCGACGCCGCGUGGAGGACGAAGUCUUUCGGGAUGUAAACUCCUGUCAGUGGGGACGAUAAUGACGGUACCCACAGAGGAAGCACCGGCUAACUCCGUGCCAGCAGCCGCGGUAAGACGGAGGGUGCAAGCGUUGUUCGGAAUUACUGGGCGUAAAGCGUACGUAGGCGGCAAGUUAAGUUCAAUGUUAAAGCCCAAGGCUCAACCGAGGAGAUGCAUUGAAUACUGGCUAGCUAGAGGGUGUUAGAGGAAGACGGAAUUACCAGUGUAGCGGUGAAAUGCGUAGAUAUUGGGAGGAACAUCGGUAGCGAAAGCGGUCUUCUGGGACACACCUGACGCUGAGGUACGAAAGCGUGGGGAGCAAACGGGAUUAGAUACCCGAGUAGUCC